rnacentral:rRNA from 1 species
GUGAGGAAUAUUGCGCAAUGGAGGCAACUCUGACGCAGCCAUGCCGCGUGCAGGAAGAAGGCGCUACGCGUUGUAAACUGCUUUUAACCGGGAAGAAACCCCAGGACGUGUCCUGGGUUGACGGUACCGGAGGAAUAAGCACCGGCUAACUUCGUGCCAGCAGCCGCGGUAAUACGAAGGGUGCAAGCGUUAUCCGGAUUCAUUGGGUUUAAAGGGUGCGUAGGCGGAGCGUUAAGUCAGUGGUGAAAUCCUGCAGCUUAACUGUAGACUUGCCAUUGAUACUGGCGCUCUUGAGUGCGGUUGAAGGGGGCGGAAUGUGUCGUGUAGCGGUGAAAUGCUUAGAUAUGGAACAGAACACCAAUUGCGAAGGCAGCUCACUAAGGCGAUACUGACGCUGAGGCACGAAAGCGUGGGGAUCGAACAGGAUUAGAAACCCGGGUAGUCC